UUGAUCCUGGCUCAGGAUGAACGCGGGCGGCGUGCCUAAUACAUGCAAGUCGAACGAGAACCCUUGGAUUCGUCUGGGGGGGAGAGUGGCGAACUGGUGAGUAACGCGUGGGUGACCUGCCCCGAAGACGGGGAUAGCCGUUGGAAACGACGGCUAAUACCCGAUAUACUCGGUGAUUCGGUUCAUCGAGUAAAGGCUCCGGUGCUUCGGGAUGGGCCUGCGGCCUAUCAGCUAGUUGGUGGGGUAAUGGCCCACCAAGGCGAAGACGGGUAGGGGGCGUGAGAGCGCGGNCCCCCACACUGGCACUGAGAUACGGGCCAGACUUCUACGGAAGGCAGCAGUCGGGGAUAUUGCACAAUCGGCGAAAGCCGGAUGCAGCGACGCCGCGUGGGCGAUGAAGGCCUUCGGGUUGUAAAGCCCUUUUAUGGGGGAAGAGACAAGGACGGUACCCCAAGAAUAAGCGUCGGCUAACUACGUGCCAGCAGCCGCGGUAAAACGUAGGACGCAGCGUUAUCCGGAUUUACUGGGCGUAAAGAGCGUUGAGGCGGUUCCGUAAGUUGGGCGUGAAAGCCCCGGGCUUAACCCGGGGAGGUCGUUCAAUACUGCGGGACUUGAGGGCAGCAGAGGGAGGCGGAAUUCCCGGUGUAGCGGUGAAAUGCGUAGAUGUCGGGAGGAACACCAGUGGCGAAGGCGGCCUCCUGGGCUGUUUCUGACGCUGAAGGCGAAAGCUAGGGGAGCGAACGGGAUUAGAAACCCCGGUAGUCCUAGCCGUAAACGAUGGAUGCUGGGUGUGGGGGGUAUAGAUCCCCUCCGUGCCGAAGCUUACGCGUUUAGCAUUCCGCCUGGGGAUUUACGGGCGCCAUGCUUAAACUCAGACGAAUUGACGGGGGGCCCCGCACAAGCAGCGGAGCGUGUGGUUUAAUUCGAUGCUACACGAAGGACCUUACCUGGGCUUGAC
rnacentral:rRNA from 1 species